GAUGAACGCUGGCGGCGUGCUUAACACAUGCAAGUCGAACGGUGAAGGAGAGCUUGCUCUUUGGAUCAGUGGCGAACGGGUGAGUAACACGUGAGUAACCUGCCCUUGACUCUGGGAUAAGCGUUGGAAACGACGUCUAAUACCGGAUAUGACUCCCGAAGGCAUCUUCUGGGGGUGGAAAGAAUUUCGGUCAAGGAUGGACUCGCGGCCUAUCAGCUAGUUGGUGAGGUAAUGGCCCACCAAGGCGACGACGGGUAGCCGGCCUGAGAGGGUGACCGGCCACACUGGGACUGAGACACGGCCCAGACUCCUACGGGAGGCAGCAGUGGGGAAUAUUGCACAAUGGGCGCAAGCCUGAUGCAGCAACGCCGCGUGAGGGACGACG
rnacentral:rRNA from 1 species